AGGAAAUGCUGGAAUGAAGAGAAGAAAUGUGACUGAACAUCAGGUGUUUUUGUGGAGAGUGUAUUCUGCAAAGAGCUCCAGUUUCUCAAGCUGUUCAUAGUGAGAUUCGGAUUUGCGUCCUCUAUAACCAAUCAGCGUCAUUGGCCCGGCAGGUACAGAGCAGGUGAAAGAAGGGCGAUUCUGCAGCCGGACUCGGCUCAUCGGCGUCCUGCUCUGCUUCAGCUCCCUCUGCCUCCCUGCCAGGUGAGCCGCCGCCUUGUCAGUGGAAGCCCAGCGGGUUUCCUUGCUCUCGUUUCGUCUCCUAGUUUUUGACCCAGUUCAUGAUCCUGGAUCUUUCCUGCCUUGAUUUCUGGAUCUCUGCUGCCUUUCUGCUAAGUGGACAUCAGUUCCCACCUUUCCUUUAUGCUAAGUUUAUCACUUGCUGCUUCUCUGUGCAUUUGUGGAUCUUUUUUAUGUCUGUUAAUGAUCUUGUGUUUGUUUUCACCUGUGUUGAGGUCAUGUCAGUGUUAUUGCAUAACAUGCAACAUGACCUCUAGCAACUACAAUCUCAAAUGUGGCAGAAUGCUGCAAAGAAAAGUGAUGAAGAAUUUCCAGAAAGUGUCGUAAAAGUUCAAAUUGGAUGCUCGAUUAAGAUUUUUUCUUUUUGCUGAAAUCUGAUUGUCUUUUAAAUUGUGUAUUCAUUUAUACUAGUAAUUGAUUAUUGGUGUUGCACAACAUCGCUCUGCUACAGGAGAAAUAAAGGACAGAGCCGUUUAUGGACCGAUUGUAAAGUUAUUCAGAAUCAACAAUGACGAAGGAAGCUGAUAAAAGAAAGGAAAACCUGCCAUCAACGGCCUUCACUGACACAGACUGCUUUCAUAAUUUCAUAAUUAUAAUUUUCAUCCAUUGUUUACGUCCUGAUUUACCGCAUCAGGCUUCUUCUGCAGAAUUGUGAUUCAUGUCUCGGGAAGUAUUUAAAAGCUGGUAAAUCAGGCGUGUUUCAUGCGCUUUGGAAACAGUUUGAUAUGUAUCCGGUUUAGUUCCACAUAUGGAAGUGAAACGAAUCAGAUUGUUUGGGUGUGGAAAGAUCAGAAUUGUUCAGACUGCUGUGAAGAAGCCAGAUAAAUGCAAAAACAAGUGGAUGUGUGUCAUGUUUGGCUGCUCUGUGAACAUUAACGCUCAUUGCUUAUUAUCGCAAACACUUG